AGAGUUUGAUCAUGGCUCAGGAUGAACGCUAGCUACAGGNUUAACACAUGCAAGUCGAGGGGAAACGACAUCGAAAGCUUGCUUUUGAUGGGCGUCGACCGGCGCACGGUGAGUAACGCGUAUCCAACCUGCCCACCACUUGGGGAUAACCUUGCGAAAGUAAGACUAAUACCAAUGAUAUCUCUAGAAGACAUCUGAAAGAGAUUAAGAUUUAUCGGUGAUGGAUGGGGAUGCGUCUGAUUAGCUUGUUGGCGGGGUAACGGCCCACCAAGGCAACGAUCAGUAGGGGUUCUGAGAGGAAGGUCCCCCACAUUGGAACUGAGACACGGUCCAAACUCCUACGGGAGGCAGCA
rnacentral:rRNA from 1 species